AUUGAACGCUGGCGGCAGGCCUAACACAUGCAAGUCGAGCGGAGCGGCGGACGGGUGAGUAAUGCCUAGGAAUCUGCCUGGUAGUGGGGGAUAACGUCCGGAAUCGGGCGCUAAUAUCGCAUUCUUUCAGAUGAUGCUAGGUCGUAUUAGCUAGUGGGUGGGGUAAAGGCCUACCAAGGCGACGAUCCGUAACUGGUCUGAGAGGAUGAUCAGUCACACUGGAACUGAGACACGGUCCAGACUCCUACGGGAGGCAGCAGUGGGGAAUAUUGGACAAUGGGCGAAAGCCUGAUCCAGCCAUGCCGCGUGUGUUAAGAAGGUCUUCGGAUUGUAAAGCACUUUAAGUUGGGAGGCGUUACCAACAGAAUAAGCACCGGCUAACUUCGUGCCAGCAGCCGCGGUAAUAC
rnacentral:rRNA from 1 species